GCUAGCAGAGAAACAUCAAAAUUGCUGAUCUGCAAGGGCACCAAAAAAACAAAAAAAAAGGCUGGUCUGCAAGGGCACAAAGAAAAAAAAAAAAAAAGGCCCCGGCGUACCUACGCCGUACCCGAAUGAACCAAACGUACCGGAUCCCCUUUUGCCGUACCCGAUAUGUGUGCAGCCGUACUGGUACGCGUACCUGCACCUGCACCUGCACCCGUACCCAUAUCAGUGCAGAUUAUAUGCAAAUUAUGGCAUUUGUUCUUAAAGUGUUGCCUACAACUACCAUUCAAGGACAGGAGAAUCAUGCCUCAUUACUUCAAUGCAGGAGAUGCGCUAGAAAUAUUUCUAGAAAGCAGAGAUCAACUAUUCCAUUGUUGUCAAUUGUGUCGCAACACAAUGGACUUACAAUCUUGGUGAAUGGUUGUACUGGUAAGAUGGGGAACGCAGUUAUAGAAGCAGUUGCUUCGAAAGGAAUUCAUCUUGUUCCUAUAUCGUUUAGCAGAAGUAAUGAGUCUGGGAAAAUUGUGCAAGCGGGGGGAAAAGAGAUUCAGUUGUAUGGUCCUUCUGAAAGAGAGAGCAUUUUAACAUCUGCCUUUGAGGAGUAUCCAAACUUGAUGGUGGUGGACUACACAGUGCCUGCUUCAGUGAAUGAUAAUGCAGAGUUAUAUUGUAGAGUUGGGGUGCCCUUUGUAAUGGGAACUACUGGUGGAGACACGGAGCAGUUGUAUAAGACUGUAGAAGACUCAAAAGUUUAUGCUGUGAUCUCACCUCAAAUGGGAAAACAGGUUGUAGCAUUUCUUGCAUCAAUGGAAAUUAUGGCUGAGCGAUUUCCCGGGGCCUUCUCUGGAUAUUCCCUGGAGGUGACGGAGUCUCACCAAGCAAGCAAAUUGGACACAUCUGGAACUGCCAAGGCUAUCGUUGCAUGCUUUAAAAAGCUGGGAGUCUGCUUUGAAUUGGAUAAGGUGAGAUACAACGAAUCCGCGAUCCAAAGCAACAAAUGGAGAUAAUGGGUGUGCCAGAGGAGCAUCUGUUUCGUCAUGCAUUCCAUUUGUAUCGUCUGACAUCACCCGAUCAAACUGUUUCUUUUGAGUUUCAGCAUAAUGUUUGUGGCAGCUCAAUGUAUGCUGAGGGUACUGUAGAUGCUAUAAUUUUCCUCUCUCAAAAGGUUCAGUCAAAAGCAGAAAAGCGGAUCUACAAUAUGAUUGAUGUCUUGCGGGAGGGCAACAUGCGAUGACAGUUGGGUUUUGUUUGUUUGCAGUGAUGGUUUUGAUUAUUGAGCUUCUACUUUUGUGGGCAGAACAGACCGGCGGAUCUGGUGGUCGAUAAUCGUUCGGACUUGGUAAAGGUUGUCACGGCACCUGUAGUAGGACAGAGAACUUGUCGCCUAGUCUAGUUUUUUUUUUUUUUUUUUUUUUCUUUUUUUCAAGUGUAGUAGUUUUUUUUCUAUUAAUUGCGAUGCAAACAGGCCUGUACGUAUGAGAUUAGUUGAGGAGGCUUGCUUUAGUUGUCUGUUAUAAGAUAACUAGUUUUGGGGCUUUCGACGUAAAAAAGCCUAUCCGGCUUGGCUUCGCUGUCGCUUUCCUACAUAAGGGACGGUAUCUUCAGAUACAUUAGUGCCGGUUCAGUUGAUCCUUCUAAAUUCUGAAUACCAUUUUGUGUGCGCCCUUUUUUUUCAUUUAAUUUUUUUUUUCUUUUCUAUUAAACUCUGAAAUCUAUGAAAUUGGGUUAUUUUUGACAA